rnacentral:rRNA from 1 species
GUAGAACGGGCCAACGAGUUACGUUAAGUAGCAAGGUUAAGCACUUAAGGUGCGGAGCCGUAGCGAAAGCGAGUUUUAACUGAGCGUUCAGUUACUUGACGUAGACCCGAAACCGGGCGACCUACCCAUGAGCAGGAUGAAGCGAAAGUAAAAUUUCGUGGAGGUCCGAACCCACGAGCGUUGAAAAGCUCGGGGAUGACUUGUGGGUAGCGGUGAAAUUCCAAUCGAGCCCGGAGAUAGCUGGUUCUCCCCGAAAUAGCUUUAGGGCUAGCCUCAAGGUGAGAGAUACGGAGGUAGAGCACUGAAUGUCCUAGGGGGUAUUGCACCUACCGAAGACUAUCAAACUCCGAAUGCCGUCAUCUUAUACUUGGGAGUCAGACUGUGGGUGAUAAGAUUCAUAGUCGAAAGGGCAACAGCCCAGAUCGUCAGCUAAGGUCCCUAAAUGUAAGUUAAGUGGUAAAGGAUGUGGGAUUGCACAGACAACCAGGAUGUUGGCUUAGAAGCAGCCACUCAUUCAAAGAGUGCGUAAUAGCUCACUGGUCGAGUGAUCCUGCGCCGAAGAUUUCCGGGGCUAAAACUUACUACCGAAGCUACGGCAUCAGUAAUGAUGGGUAGGGGAGCUUCCCAUACGGGUUGAAGCAUGACCGUAAGGACAUGUGGACAGUAUGGGAGUGAGAAUGUUGGCAUGAGUAGCGAGAUGUGGGUGAGAAUCCCACAGGCCGUAAACCCAAGGUUUCCAGGGGAAGGUUCGUCCGCCCUGGGUUAGUCGGGACCUAAGCUGAGGCCGAAAGGCGUAGGUGAUGGACAACAGGUUGAUAUUCCUGUACUACCGAUAACCGUUUGAGAGAAGGGAUGACACAGUAGGAUAAGCUAAGCACACUGUUGGUUAUGUGUGCCCAAGCAUUGAGGCAGUCAAAGUAGGCAAAUCCGCUUUGAUAAUGCUGGGAUGUGAUGGGGAGCGAAAUUUAGUAGCGAAGUAGCUGAUUUCACACUGUCAAGAAAAGUCUCUAUCGAGGUUAAAGGUACCCGUACCGCAAACCGACACAGGUGGGUGAGGAGAGUAUCCUAAGGCCAGCGAGAGAACUGUUGUUAAGGAACUCGGCAAAAUGACCCCGUAACUUAGGGAUAAGGGGUGCCACCAUCAGGUGGCCGCAGAGAAUAGGCCCAAGCG